CAUAAGAGAGGAUAUUUUUGGGGGGUCUGAAAUUCUCAAAAAAUUUCCAUACAAAUCAAGGGUACAUGCCUCUUCACUUUAUGCCAUUUCGGCUUACGGAUAGCGGAGGAAACCUGUACGGUCUACUUUGACCCAAGUUUAAGUUUACCGUGACUUUUCUGUUGUACAUAGAUUCAAACACUUGUGACUGAUUUUGUAGCAUGAACAGAACUCUGACUUAUGUGACACAAUUUGCAGAGUCGACGGGCCUUGAGUUGUAUGAAUUGGGUGGAAAGGAUGCAUCUUCCUCCCAGCGAGAGAAAGACGUUUCCCCCCACUCCAGCAGGAAAAGAAGUCCCCGCACUUCCACUCACCUGUUCAUUGACUCGCUUGCAGAAGACGGCGAGCAGGAAGACAGCGGCGAUCGGCGGCCCCAGGUAGCUAGAGAUGGAUUCUAUGUAAUGAAACAGCUGUCCGUUUUGAGACACUUGUACCAACGGGACCCACAAAAUGCUGAUGAUAAUUAACAGGAUGAUGAACAGCCUGGGAAGCAAACAAAAGGAAGGGAUGAUUAAACGGAAGCAUCACUGAGAAAUUUAAGACAGAAACCAGGCUUCUCUCACCGCCCAGCGAUCAGGAGCUCUCUCUCCGAGGCCUGCUUCCGGAUCUUCGUGUAGAGGUCCAUGGUGAAGAGGGUGCUGGCGCUGUUGAAGAUGGAGGUCAGGGAGCUCAUGAGAGAUGCCAACAUGACUGACAGCAUCAGGCCUCGCAGCCCUGCGGCCGGAAGAGGAGGCAACCACGAGUUAGGAACUGGACGCCACGAGCUGUGAUCACUUGCCAACCAGACGGCCAUUCAAAGGUAAAAUGUCAUACGGACUGUUUACUAACUGAUGUGCCCAUGGAUACAUGCCAUCGUGUAGCAUUUUCUGCAUAUUUCCUGGUGAUUCUCAGAAUUAUUGACAAGUAAAAAUUGCAUGUAUUUAAGGUGUGCAACAUGAUGUUUUGGUAGAUACAUCAUGUGAAUGGUUACCAGAGUCAAGCUAAUUAACCCAGUCAUCACAUCACAUAGUAACUAAUACCUUGUUUUGUUGUGAGAAUACUUGAGAUCUAUUUUCUUAAUAAAUUUCAAGUACACAAGACAUUAUUAUUAACUGUAGUCUUUAUGCUGUGGUCUCCAGAACUUAUCCAUAUUAUAACUGAACGUGUGUACCCUUUGACCAAUAUAUUCCUAUUUCCCCAUUCCCCAUCCCCUGGCAACCACCAUUCUACUUUUCUGUUUCUUUAGAUUCCACAUAUAAGUGACAUCAUGCAGUAUUUGUCUUUGAGAGAGAUAUAUCGAUUGGUUGCCUCCCACACUCACUGGGAGCAGUGACUGGGGGCGGAGAUGGAACCUGCAACCCAGGUACAGGCCCUAAACUGGGACUCAAACCUGAGACCCUCUGGUUCAUAGGCCGAUGCUCUAACCAUUGAGAAACACCGGCCAGGGCUCAUCACACUUUCUUUACCCAUUUACCUGAGCAGGACAUUUUCUUACCGUCAGGCAUCAGUUCCAUCACCAGCAUUGGGUAGGCAUAGUUAGUGCAGCCGACUUCAGUGCCACAGUGUUUCACACACUCAGAGGGGACAACACAGGCCACCUUCUCUGAAGAGGAAUUCAGAGAAGUGGGUUCAGUGAGUGGGGCCCAAACAGGUAAGACCUACAACCAUUGGCCGCAGAGACAAGUGGGAAGGUCAUGAGUUAGAGGAAAGACGUUUGCCUGGAAAUUGAGGCUCAACUUUGAACAGCAGGCAAUCGAUCUGCUUCCUCUUUGGCUAGAAUACACCUUUCCAAGUGUCACAGCUGUAGCUCCCCUGGCACUGGCCUGUGGGGCAGGCUCUGCCUUGGGAUGCGGCCCACCUAGAGCAUUAGAGGGAUCGAUUCCCCCUCCAGAAAAGCUGCAAGAGCAUACGUCCUCCCAGGAGCACAGAACUCCACAGAUCAAACAGCAGCAACACAGCACUCAGGCAGCUGGUCCUGUGUGCAAUCAUUCAGCCAGCGUCUUUCUCCCACAUCUAAGAAGAGGUGCCACGUGUGAUGCUGGGGUGACUGCCCCUGGUGAGAUGAUGCCUCAUUCAUUGUGGCAGUUGCACAAUACCUGGCUGAUAUUCUAGCUAAAAUGACAUUAUGAAAACAGAUAGAAAAAUGGGAUAUAAAAAGCCACCCAGAAUUCUAACACCUUUGUACAAGGGCUUCUCUUAGUUUAUUAUUCCUUUCUAAUCCUUUUCCGGAGAGAAAUGUGUUUAUGGCACAACUACGGUCAUUGUUGCGGUGAUAUUUUAUAGUCUGCUGUUUACAUCCAACAUGAUGACGUCAGCAUGGCCCCACGUUUUGAGAUUGUGAACAAUCCUAUCUUUGGCUACUCCCUGGAUAUCUAUCCGUUCUUUAUUGCUGUAGACAACAACAGAAUGUUGCAAUAAGCAGGAAUAUCGCUCACUUGAUUCUCCUCUUAACAGGUUUUCAGGAAAAUAAACACGCUUUCUCCAGGCCCAGUUGAGAAAACAUGAAGUGAGGUUAGUGCUAUCUGAUGGAUUGUCCUAAUAAACACCAGCCGUCUCAGAUUAGGCAAGAAAUAUUCUGUGUUUCCUUCACUCCUCAUAAUACAUUUUUUUUAAAAAGAAAAGAUGUCAGUUUAUUUUUAUUUAUUUAUUUUUGUUAAUCCUCACCUGAGGGUAUUUUUCCAUUGAUUUUUUUUAGAGAGCGUGGAAGAGAGAGGGAAAGACAGAGAGAAACAUCGAUGUGAGAGAAACACAUCGAUGGGUUGCCUCCUGCACGUGCCCCGACCAGGGCCCGGGCUGGGGAGGAGCCUGCAACCAAAGUACAUGCCCUUGACCAGGAUCGAACCCGGGACCCUUUGGUCUGCAGGCCAAUGCUCUAUCCACUGAGCCACACUGGCGAGGGCAUCAUAAAGAUUUUUAAGGGAGAUUUUCAACAUUAGCAGUUACUCUUAGCUGACUUAAAACAUCUUAAAACCACGAUUCGUAAUUCAAGCAUAAACGAUGGGAACUUAUGGCUCUGGACUUGCCUGUGUACAGGAUGCGGCUGAUCAUUCCUGGCAUCACCAUGAGGAACAUGGGCAGCAGCUUCAGGUACCCACACAUGAUGCAGGCGGCCUUCACGUGGGACAUGUCCUUGCCGGAGAGGCAGCGCUGCACGAUGACCUGCCGGGAGAACACGCCUCGUCAUGGGACAGCCGGAGGAUGCGUCACGGGAGGGGAGCGCCUCUUCAGAGACUAGCGUGCCGAUGAGAAGUGGGAUGGUGACGAGAGAAGAAUGAGCUUCGGAGGAAAAUCCGGAUUUGGACCCCUGCUCCUCCCACAGGAGCAUUUGACUUCUGUGAGUUUCAGGUUUCUCAUCUGUAAAUAAGGUUCUUUCUUUCUUUUUGUAAAAAUAGUAUAUUGAUAUUGACGACAGAGGGGAAGGGAGAGGGAGAGAGAGAUGGAAACAUCAAUGAUGAGAGAGAAUCAUGGAUCAGCUGCCUCCUGCACGCCCCCUCCUGGGGAUCGAGCCUGCAACCCGGGCCUGUGCCCUGAUCCGGAACCGAACCCGGGACCCUUCAGUCCGCAGGCUGACGCUCUAUCCACUGAGCCAAACUGGCCAGGGCAAAGUGUUUGACUUUUUAAAUGAUGAAACUAGAUGAUUUUCUAGGAGAAGAAAAAGAACAACAUAAAGGUAUUCACACAUACACUCACACACACACACAGUCACACACACACACGGCACGCACAUACACCCACACACACUCAGUCACACACACACACAUGCACACGCACACGCUUUACCUGAUCUGUGCACCAGUACCACGCAGCCACGAUGGUCAUUCCUAUGAUCAUUCCCGGCCACGGAAUGUCCCCGGUGACAGCGUCUCGGAAAAUGUGGAAGGAGUCUGGCCGAGGAGUGUAGCACGCGGGGCUAAUUGUCAGGUUGUCCCCUUCGACUAUGGACGGGAUGGCGUUCAUAUACUUCUCCGUGAAACUCUCAUAGCCUCCGACUUCGGCAAAUGC